rnacentral:lncRNA from 1 species
ACAAUCUAUUGUUGGUAACUGUCAAACAGACAUACUAACUGAUUACAGCAGAUUCCAUAAUAGUUCUAUAACUACUUCCUUCUUCUCUAUUGAUACUUAUAUCACUGCUCCAAGAAAUUGCAAUGUCUAUCAAGGUUUUCAGGAGCUCAGUAAUUUUCCAUGUACUGGAAAGGCAAUUCUGUAGCAUGCAAGAACCUCAUUAAGGCCUUGACAGAAAUUGUGGUGUUCCUGCACAAUAUUGAAAUGCUCAAGAGAUUCUGAAAUUUUUCCUAUAAAAUAAAGUUACGUUCAUUAUCAUCUUUAUUACCAGAAUCAAUAGUAGCACAACCAAUAAUAUCAACCUCUUUCUCUUCUCCAUCAGCAACAACAUCAACCUCUUCCUUUUCUCCAUUACCAAUAAUAUCAACCUCUUCCUCUUCUCCAUCACCAACAAUAUCAAUUAUCAUCUUUACUACCAGAAUCAAUAAUAGCACAACCAAUAAUAUCAACCUCUUCCUCUUGUCCAUCAGCAACAACAUCAACCUCUUCCUUUUCUCCAUUACCAAUAAUAUCAACCUCUUCCUCGUCUCCAUCACCAACAAUAUCAAUUAUCAACUUCUUCCUCCUCUCCAAUAUCUUGAAUUGCAAUUCCACAAUCAUUUUCUUUUAUAGGCUUCAGGAAUGGACUAUAUUCUGGUACAGAUCUAAAGAUUGCAACAUUUCCCAUUUUCAUUUGGAUUUGUUCACCUAAUUUUUUCAAUCUUUGACCCUAUUCUUUUAGCAUCUCAUUUUGUCUUUAAAGUCCUCUAUCUAAAACUAAGAUACAAUAUUUCUCUUUUCUAAAGUUAUUGUCCAUAGUUGGUUUACUUGAUUGUGUUCAGAUUCUGGUUCUGAAAGAACAAAAAUUUCAAGGAUUCCUAGAAGCAGGUUAUUGAGAUGCUGGAAGUGGAAGAAAAGAAUAGAGGAAAACAGAAAGCAACAGAAGAAAGAAUAUGCUUCAAGAAUUUAAGAAAGAAAAGAGUUUUCAUAUGAAAUAAAGGAGUGCAAAAACAUGGUUUUGCCAAGAAGAAGGAAUAGAACAAGAACAGAAGGAAAACAAAGGGAAGAAAAUUCAGGGAAAGAAAGAAUACGAAUGAGGAGGGAGAAGAAGAAGAAGAAGAAGAAGAAGAGAAAUAGAGAAAAGAAUAGAAGAAUAAGAAGAAAAAGAAGAAGGAGAAGGAGAAACCGGUAACUUGGGAAGACUGCUACUGAUCUGCACCUGAUUGCGACUCCCAGAAAUUCAUGUUGGAGGAAACCCAUUCUCCAGCGGAGCUCUGAUACCUAUUGUCAUAUAUCAAAAUUCUUAGUCACAGAAAUCGGGGAGAAAUAGAGAAAGAUUAGGAAAAAGGAAUAAGACAAGAUAGAAAGAAAAAACAAUCUGCAUUGAAUUGAUUCUUGAAUGAGGAGUACAUGUGCCUUCUCUUCAUUUUAUACCCAAUCUACUAUUAGUAACUAUCACACACAUACUAACUUACAAUAGAUCUCAUAACAGUUUUAUAACUACUUCCUCCCUCUCUAUUGAUACUUAUAUUUCCCUCACUAAUUCAUUAACUACUCUACUCCCUAGUCAUAACAAAAUGGUAAGUGGUGGGCAAAGAAAUUGGAAAAGUGAACUACAAGCUUGAAACCAAGAGAAUCAAGCUAGAAAAUUCUCAUCUUAACUAGUAGAUCCUGCGUUUAGCAUUUGUUUUGGGAAAACUAUGUAUUUUUGUCCUGAUUAGAUGCUAUUUUUUCUUACUAAAAACUCUAUUAUUUAGGUUUGAUUAAUAUUUUGAAUUAGAUUUAAAUAACAAAAUUGAUUUUUUUCUCUCGGAACAAUAGUAGAACGAAUUUCCAACUAGAACAACUCGAUUUGAUCUAAAUAAAAAUUGGUUUGAUUGGUUAGGUUUUAAUUUUAUAAUUUCUUGAACCAAACCCUUUACUUCACGAUUUGGUUACACCCUGUAAAUUAUAUCAUAUAUGAAACUGUUGAAAAAUUAAGAAUAUGGGAUCUUCUAGAUUGCCUAUGAAAUUUGGGGGUUUAUAAAUGUGGUAUCCAAUGGGAUGGAAUGGCUCUAAAAUGACCAAAUCAUGUUUAUGUGAUCAGAUCGAGUUGACCAACUUGUGCUUCUUUAUUACAAAACUAAUUAAGGUGUGCAAUAGGUAAAAAAUAAAAGACAGGAGUUUCUCCCAAAAUGAAAAAAAAGGUGUGCAAUGCAUCAAAAUAAAAGAUGGGUGUGAACUAGAUAUUUUCCAUGUAGCAAAAGGGCUAACCUAGGCCAAGGCAAUAUUGAUCUUGUUCAAUUGCAUUUAUCAUCUUAUAAAUAAUUCUAACAUCUUGUUGCUUUUCAUUGCAAG